rnacentral:rRNA from 1 species
AUUGAACGCUGGCGGCAGGCCUAACACCUGCAAGUCGAGCGAGCGGCGGACGGGUGAGUAAUGUCUGGGAAACUGCCCGAUGGAGGGGGAUAACUACUGGAAACGGUAGCUAAUACCGCAUACCAUCGGAUGUACCCAGAUGGGAUUAGCUAGUAGGUGGGGUAAAGGCUCACCUAGGCGACGAUCUCUAGCUGGUCUGAGAGGAUGACCAGCCACACUGGAACUGAGACACGGUCCAGACGCCUACGGGAGGCAGCAGUGGGUAAUAUUGCACAAUGGGCGCAAGCCUGAUGCAGCCAUGCCGCGUGUAUGAAGAAGGCCUUCGGGUUGUAAAGCACUUUCAGCGGGGAGGCGUUACCCGCAGAAGAAGCACCGGCUAACGCCGUGCCAGCAGCCGCGGUAAUAC